ensembl:lncRNA
CUUCUUACUCUGGUCUUUCUAAUUCCUAUCCAGAGCUUGAAAAUCAACAAUUAGGCAUCUCUGUGUGCAAAGAAAUUAGGUUAAGCCUUGAUUCCUCCCACGAGACGGGAGCCAUUUUCUCAGGCGGUCAGAGCACGGGGAGGGGCAGAAGUGGGUUUACUGCAAAGAGAAGAUAACCUGCAUUCUGAAAGACUAGUGAAGAACAAAAGGAAGUGACACGGGCCGUAUUGGUUCUGGAGGUUUGCAGAACUCCUUACAUUUAUGGAGGUCCCCUUCCGCCAAUUGUUUUAACUCAUUACACCCGCAGGAGAUUUUAGCAAAUCUUAUUUGCAUAACUUUGUUCAAGACAGUCCCUCCACCUGGAAUUCUCUGUUUUCCUUGCAUUGCGCACCUGUGCCACCCUCCUCCUCCAGACUCUUGACUAUUGAAAUUGAAAUUUUAUUGUCUUUUAAGGUCUGCUUCCCAGUUUACCUCCUCCAACUUCACCAAUGCAGUUGGAAAUUGUCUCUCUGCUCUGAACUCCUCGGUCACAGUCUGAUCACACCCUGGCCUGAAUUGAAGUUGUUUGACAGCUCUUCUGUCUUUUUUUUCCUUACAUCUUCCAGAGUUUCUAAUGUUCAGGCUCAGUAAGUACUUGAAUGAAUAGACAGCCAUAUGGAUCCUGACAGGAGUGCUCCCUCACUGCAUGCCAAAUGCAAGUCAAGGACAAGACCAAGGAGACCUCUGCCCGGCCCAGCCCUCUUUCAGGCACUUCUGUGAUACCAUGUGUCUCUCUCCGAUGAAGCCAUUUUUUCUCAGAUUCCUUGGGAAAACAUCCCAGGCAUGUACAAUAACGGUCACCACUCUGACCAGGGGAAUGUCCCAGCUGAAUUUAUGUUUUUACCCUCAAGGACCAUGCAGCUAAACUCCACAUAGGGUGGGGCCCAGUAAUGAGAGAAGACUGUGGUGUGAAUGCCAGCAAUUUAGAGCGUUGGGCCCCUGCCCCUGAUGCAGCCAAAGGGCACUGCCCACUCUCCAUAGGACUGUUGUUAAUGGCCAAAGGGUGUCCUAUGAGUGUCAAAGGAAAGUUCACAUUUCCAUGGAAGGAUCAGAGGCCAAGGGAGAGGUCAGAUGCAUCUGUGGGGCUUUUGUCUGGUUGUUCUUUGUUAAAACCCACAUGUGGACGUAUUUUGAUCUCCCACAUAUCUGCAUGUGUUUCUGGGUGGAUGAGAAUGCUGUGCAGCUGGACCCUGAGUAAUGGUUCCGGCCUUCAACAAGCUCCGCGGAGGAGCAGUUUAGACAGGGUUGCAUUCUGCUCUCAAUUUCCACUUUGGCAAAGGAAACUGCAUAUUCAUCUCAUCAAGUAAGGGGAGAGUUAAGGGCGCUGCCACCAAAUUCUUCUCCCUUCCCAUAUGUGCAAGUCAUGAAGGAAAAGUUCUGACUGUGUUUUUCUGUCAUGCCAAUUCAUGGCUUAGGUGUGUCAAUGCCAGCCUAGUUCCUAGUACAUAGUAGGUGUUAUUUUCUAACUUUGUAUUAUGGGAAAUUCAAAGCAUGUACAAAGAUAGACAGCAUGUACAAGAUUUCAGGCAUAUAAAAAGGUACCUAUCAAUCAGUUUCGACGUUUAUGAACUCAUGGCCAAUACUGUUUUAUAUAUACCCCAACUCACUUCCUCCACCCCAUCUGCACUAUUUUGAAGCAAAUUCCAGACACCAUACAAUUUCUUCCAUAAACAGUUUUGUAUGAAUCUCUACAGUACCAUUUCACAUCUAAAAAAUAGCAGUAAGUCCUUAAUAUUAUCAAAUAUCUAGUCAGUAUUCAAAUUUUAAAUUGUCUCAUAAACGUCAUAAUUUUUUUUGUUUCCUUAUUUGAUUCAGAAUCCAAAUAAGGUCCACACAUUUGACUGACUGUAUGACUCAUUAUGUUUCUGUUCACCUAUAGAUGCUCCCUCCACCUCUCAUUGUCUCUCUUUCUCUCUGUUUCUUCUCUUGAAGGAAGUGAGUUGUUAGCCAUGGGGAGUUUCCAGCAGUCUACAGUUUUCUGACUGCAUCCCAGUGGUGUUAUUGUACAUGUAUCUUUGUCUUCUGUUUUUCCUGUAAAUUGGUAGUUGGGUCUUGGGUUUGAUCAGCUUCAGAUCUUAUUUUUACUUUUUUGGUAGGUCUGCUUUAUAGAUGCUCUAUUCUUCUAUCAGGAAGCACACGUGAUAUCUGUUUUCUCUCUUUGUGAUACUAGCAGCUAUUGAUGAUCAAUCCCUAGAUCCAUUAAUCCAUUGGAAGUCGCAAGAUGGUGAUGAUGAUUCUGCCAUUACUUCUUCAUUUAUUAGCUGUAAUACUUCUGUAAAGAGAAGAGAAACUUCUCAUCUAUUACUUGGUUAACCAUUGCAAUCAUCCAUAUAGGAAAGCCAGGAUAAAUGCUUGAUAAACCCCUUAUUUACCAGUGAUGAGGAAAAAAAGAAAAAAGAAUUGAUUCACCAACCUCAUUCAAGUGUGACGAAUUACUAUCUUUUAGAAUCAACAGGAACUCAUGAAUUUAAACAUAUUGAUGCAUUUUAAUCUAUUGCAGGUACUGUCAUUAUUGAUUUUUUCAAACUGUCCUGUCUUCGUCCAGCAGGAGCGUCUUAAAGUUGGCUCAUUAGUCCUUGGAUGCAAUUCGACUUGUCUCUGAUAAAGUUCUAUCUGGCAUGACAAGAUGUUCCAGGUACAUCUUGUGUAUUUCCUGCUCUAAAUCUGGAAUCAGCUGUUUCUCUGAAGAGCAUUGUUUCUUUGAGUGGGAAAUAGUGUUUCUGGAGCUCCCUCUGGGAAUAGGGGUGCUCUAUGCUAACAGGUUAUUCGUUGUGUUGAGGCCUUUUUAGUAGACAGAGCCAGAAAAUAUGUUCAUUUCUUAAGAUAAAUAUAUCAUGAAUUCGUAUUAAUACUUCCAAUUCAAUUCAAGAUUCUAGGAAUUUUGCUUAAUGUCUUCAAUCUUACAUCUCCUUUCUCUCAAAGCUGAGAAUCCUGGUUUUCAAAGGCACUGGGAAUGAGACAUAAUUAUCAAACAGUUAUGCAUUUGUUCUAUCUUACAACACACACACAGAUGUCACAAAAACGACCAACAUUUCCACCAACGAUGUGAUUCCUGAAAAGAGUUUAAGCGUGUCUUGUGUUUGUGCUUGUAGCUUUCAUGGUCCCUGGGGACCUGUGGUCAAGCUGAAGUUGUAAAGUCCAGUGGAAUAAUUCCUCCCUGUGUGGUUAUGCAAACUGUAUUCACAGUUAGGGUCAUAUGUUUCAUUUUAUUUUCCAGGAUUCUUUUUAAAUAUAAUUUUAUAUAAUAUUUACAUUGUUCCAAAGUCAAAUCUACAAAGUAUACACAAAGUAUCUUUAAAGUAGUCUAGCUUCUAUUUCAUAUCUUCUUCACCCUGUAUCCCCCUAUAUCUUAUAAGUAAUCAUUUAUUUUUAAAUUCUAUGAUUUAUUCUUCUAUUGUUUGUUUUUAAAAUGUUAUGUAUACGCACACACACACAGACACAUUCCUUUUUCUCAGAUACACAUGCACAAUUUUCUCUACUCUGUUUUUUUUUUUUUUCUUACUAUAUCUUACUAGAUCUUACUAGAUCACUCCAUACUGGUAUAUAGAGAGAUUUAUUAUUCAUUUUUUAGGCUGGUUCAGUUUACUCAACCAGUCCCUUAAUGAUGAGUAUUUGAGUUGUUUCAUCUUUGUUGGCAAAAAUAAUAACAGCCUUGUACUCUCUCUCUCUCUCUUUCUUUCUUUCAACAGUAUAUCUUUGGAAUAGCUUCCUAAAAAUGGGAUUUCUGGAUACAGAGUAGUUAAAAAAAAUUUUUUUAAACAAUUUCAAAUUUAAAGAAAAGUUGCAAAUAGAAUAGAAAGAACAUUUUUCCUGCACCACUUGAGAGUAUUACAUUUUGGCCUCUCGCAAGAUGCCCAGCCCAUUACUAUGAAAGAAUCCACAGUCUCUGGCCCUGCAGAGGUUACCAUCCAGCGUGGAGGAGAGGCAGCCAGCCAAAUAAUUUACAUGUGUGAGAUGCUAACUGCUGCAAAUCUGAUCUUAGAAUGAAUGAGAUGCAGUAAUCCCUUCCAGAUUCACCCAGAAGACAGGCAGGGAAACAAUCACACAGCCAAGGAAGAGGCACCAUUGGAGAGGUCUGAACAAUGUGCUAGGUUGGUCCGGAGCCAGGAACACCCGAUGGUAACCAAGAGGCAAGGCGGGUAGGCAUCACAGAGGAGCUGCCAUCUGAACAAGGUCUUAAUGAAUGGGUAAGGAUUUGCAGGGGAGAAGACAGGGCAUUCCAGGCUGAGGAAACCACACGU